AAGAGCCGUGUGAAGGGAGACUUUCACGCACGGUUCUGUGGGAAGGUCGGGGUGCAAUUCCCCUGCCUGACCCGAU
rnacentral:ncRNA from 1 species